UACGUAGGGCGCAAGCGUUAUCCGGAAUUAUUGGGCGUAAAGAGCUCGUAGGCGGUUUGUCGCGUCUGCCGUGAAAGCCCGGGGCUUUACCCCGGGUCUGCAUUCGAUACGGGCAGGCUAGAGUGUGGUAGGGGAGAUCGGAAUUCCUGGUGUAGCGGUGAAAUGCGCAGAUAUCAGGAGGAACACCGGUGGCGAAGGCGGAUCUCUGGGCCAUUACUGACGCUGAGGAGCGAAAGCGUGGGGAGCGAACAGG
rnacentral:rRNA from 1 species